ACGGAAGGCAGCAGUGGGGAAUAUUGGGCAAUGGGCGAAAGCCUGACCCAGCGACGUCGCGUGAAGGAAGAAGGCCCUCGGGUUGUAAACUUCAGUCAACAGGGAAGAAACAAAUGACGGUACCUGUGGAGGAAGCCACGGCUAACUACGUGCCCGCAGCCGCGGUAAUACGUAGGUGGCGAGCGUUAUCCGGAUUUACUGGGUGUAAAGGGUGUGUAGGCGGGUGUGCAAGUCAGGUGUGAAAAUUAUGGGCUUAACUCAUAACUUGCAUUUGAAACUGUACAUCUUGAGUGUCGGAGAGGUAAAUGGAAUUCCCAGUGUAGCGGUGAAAUGCGUAGAUAUUGGGAGGAACACCAGUGGCGAAGGCGGCUUACUGGGCUUUAACUGACGCUGAGGCUCGAAAGCGUGGGGAGCAAACAGGAUUAGAUACCCUGGUA
rnacentral:rRNA from 1 species